UCCCUGGUAGUAUAUCGGUUAGUACACGCGCCUGUCAUGAAGUGCUGGGUAUACCUCAUCGUCUCGCGCGAAAGCUGGGUUCGACUCCCAGCCAGGGAG